rnacentral:rRNA from 1 species
AUUGAACGCUGGCGGCAUGCCUUACACAUGCAAGUCGAACGGUAACGCGGGGCAACCUGGCGACGAGUGGCGAACGGGUGAGUAAUGUAUCGGAACGUGCCCAGUAGUGGGGGAUAGCCCGGCGAAAGCCGGAUUAAUACCGCAUACGACCUAAGGGUGAAAGCGGGGGAUCGCAAGACCUCGCGCUAUUGGAGCGGCCGAUAUCAGAUUAGGUAGUUGGUGGGGUAAAGGCCUACCAAGCCGACGAUCUGUAGCUGGUCUGAGAGGACGACCAGCCACACUGGGACGGAGACACGGCCCAGACUCCUCCGGGAGGCAGCAGUGGGGAAUUUUGGACAAUGGGCGCAAGCCUGAUCCAGCCAUGCCGCGUGCGGGAAGAAGGCCUUCGGGUUGUAAACCGCUUUUGUCAGGGAAGAAAAGGUCUGAACUAAUACUUUGGGCUCAUGACGGUACCUGAAGAAUAAGCACCGGCUAACUACGUGCCAGCCGCCGCCGUAACAC